rnacentral:rRNA from 1 species
AUGAACGCUGGCGGCCUGCCUAAUCCCUGCCAGUCGCGCGAACAGACGAGGAGCUUGCUCCUCUGACGUUGGCGGCGGCCGGGUGAGUAACCCUUGGUUAACCUACCUAUAAGACUGGGAUAACUUCGGGAAACCGGGGCUAAUCCCGGUUAAUAUAUUUAACCGCUUGGUUCAAUAGUGAAAGACGGUUUUGCUGUCACUUAUAGAUGGCUCCCGGCCGCAUUAGCUAGUUGGUAAGGUAACGGCUUACCAAGGCAACGAGGGGUAGCCGACCUGAGAGGGUGAUAGGCAACACUGGAACUGAGACACGGUCCAGACUCCUACGGGAGGCAGCAGUAGGGAAUCGUCCGCAAUGGGCGAAAGCCUGACGGAGCAACGCCGCGUGAGUGAUGAAGGUCUUCGGAUCGUAAAACUCUGUUAUUAGGGAAGAACAAAUGUGUAAGUAACUAUGCACGGCUUGACGGUACCUAAUCAGAAAGCCACGGCUAACUACGUG